rnacentral:rRNA from 1 species
AACGAACGCUGGCGGCAUGCCUAACACAUGCCAGUCGAACGAGACCUUCGGGUCUAGUGGCGCACGGGUGCGUAACGCGUGGGAAGCUGCCCUUAGGUUCGGAAUAACUCCCCGAAAGGGGUGCUAAUACCGGAUAAUGUCUUCGGACCAAAGAUUUAUCGCCUUUGGAUGGGCCCGCGUUGGAUUAGCUAGUUGGUAGGGUAAAAGCCUACCAAGGCGACGAUCCAUAGCUGGUCUGAGAGGAUGAUCAGCCACACUGGGACUGAGACACGGCCCAGACUCCUACGGGAGGCAGCAGUGGGGAAUAUUGGACAAUGGGCGAAAGCCUGAUCCAGCAAUGCCGCGUGAGUGAUGAAGGCCUUAGGGUUGUAAAGCUCUUUUACCCGGGAUGAUAAUGACAGUACCGGGAGAAUAAGCACCGGCUAACUCCGUG